GACACACACACACACCCCUUUCAGGACACUAAAAUCCUGGUAUGGGAGCAGUGUGGCCUUUGGGAAGCUCAGUAAGAGAGAGCAAGUGUAAGCAGAUGCUGGUCAUCCUGAAGUGAAGCCCACAGGGACUCGUGUGUUUGUUGCUAAUACCGGGGGCCCGGUCUCCCACACUCGGUGUCCUGGGGAAGGGGAGACUGAGUCACAUAGUUCCACUAAGGGUGGGGGCUGUGUCCCAUGCCCACAGCAAACCUCAGGGGCCAGGUCGGGAGGGUGGCUCCAGAUGGACAAGCCUAGGUGGAGGGGCCUGAUCUCGCAGGACUGGUCAGGGCUCCUCAGGGAGGACCCUGGAACAAACAAGACCGCCCCCCCCCCUUUUUUUCUGCUUUUUAGGGCCACACCCGCAGCAUAUGGAGGUUCCCAGGCUAGGGAGGUCAAAUCAGAGCUAAAGCUGCAGGCCUACACCAGAGCCGCAGCAACUUGGGAUGAGAGCUGUGUCUUUGACCCACACCACAGCUCACGGCCACGCUGGAUCCUUAGCCCACUGAGCGAGGCCAGGGAUCGAACCUGUGACCUCAUGGCUCCUAGUGGGAUUCAUUUCCACUACGCCACAAUGGGAACUCUGACAAAGACCUAUUAUUUCAACUUCUCACCCUUAACUCUAAUAUGACAUUGACAGUCUCCUACUCAAAAGCUUUUGAGAGCUCAUGACUCACUUGAGAAGUGAGUUCAGGCUUGUUGGUAUUUAAGCCACACUCUCUGCCCCUCUUCCCAGGUCCCACAAAACACGUGGCCCACCCGAAGCGCCAACCGCGGCCCACAGCAUGUGUGUGAUGCACAGAACCUGUGCUCCCCAUCCUCUCGCCUCCGGCCCUCCCACAGCAACACCCCGACCCGCACCGCUGCUGCCCUGAACGUCAAAAUGCUAUUUAUCCUGCCAAACGCCAGCUCAAGUCUUCGUCUUUGAAAAGCAUUUCCUGACCCUUAAACCAAGAGUCAGAUAAUAAAUACUUUAGGCUUUGUAGACCAUUGAUGGUCUCUGUAACAUAUUCUUCUCUGCUUAUUUUUAUAACCUUUAAAAAAAAAAAAAAAACCAUUUACAGACCUGCAGUUUUCCAACCCCUGUUCCAAAAGCAUCACUCCCACGCUGGGCUGUGAUGUCUCCUUCCUCGCUGCCUCUGCCUCUCUUACUACCAUGGCUACUAACACUGUCCCUCUAGCACACCUGCUGCACUCUGCUACUGGCCUAACACUGUCUGCAUAUCUGCCCCUCCUCUGGCUACCUGUUCUUAGGAGGCAAGAAAAAUCUACUUUUAUCCUCCAUAGCACCCACUACAUGGUAUGAAUACACUUAAGGUGCUUUGUCCACGAAUCUUUUAAAACGAUCACUUCUGAACAGUGUGCUGAAUUUUAAACUGCUAAUUUAAGCAUUUCCCACCACAAGCAGCUAAAGAACUUGUCUUUGGUACAGCAGAUUUCUAAGGAGCAUCCUGAAUACAUGAAGACUGCCUGGAAUUAGAGGUGGUGAAACUCCUUAGUUUAAUUUCAACUACACGAACUUUCAUGCUGAAUCAAUGGUUACUUUCAAAGAUCUGCUCCUGUCCACACAGGUCUUUAAAAUUCUAUACUAUAAAGGAUUUCAUUAUAAAACCUAAAAACAAUACCUAUGUGGUAUAUAUGCAGUUUUCAGGAGAUACGCAGGUGUGGAAGAAAAAAAAAAAAAAAAACCUUCAAUCUUACCAAAUUCAAACAAAUGAAAAUUGAGACCAGGAUUCAAAUUUUUCUAGAAAAAGCAAUUAGCUGUUGGAGGGUGUAUUUUGCCCUCAUUAGGAAAAUGUACUUCAGUAUUUCCAGCUUAUGACUUCUUGUAAAAUAGCUCAUUGAUCUCCACCUGCUAGAGACUCAGACGUUUCUGUGACCAAGAAAUCAGAGGCUUUCUUUUCUCAGAGGCCACCUGGAAUCCCUUGCAGUCCUAACAGGUAGGCUCCUCCACUUAGACUCAUCUUCCACUGGGAAACUUAGGAAUUCUCCAGCCUCUGCCUGUGGCAAAUAAGGGACAAGGCCAGGCAAACCCUCUGUGCCCACCUCCACAUCCUGCUCAUCCAAAAAGCUGAGCCAGAUAAACACACUACU
rnacentral:lncRNA from 1 species